rnacentral:rRNA from 1 species
UGGGGAAUUUUGGACGAAUUGGGCGAAAGCCUGAUCCAGCAAUGCCGCGUGUGUGAAGAAGGCCUUCGGGUUGUAAAGCACUUUUGUCCGGAAAGAAAUCCUUGGCUCUAAUACAGUCGGGGGAUGACGGUACCGGAAGAAUAAGCACCGGCUAACUACGUGCCAGCAGCCGCGGUAAUACGUAGGGUGCAAGCGUUAAUCGGAAUUACUGGGCGUAAAGCGUGCGCAGGCGGUUUGCUAAGACCGAUGUGAAAUCCCCGGGCUCAACCUGGGGACUGCAUUGGUGACUGGCAGGCUAGAGUAUGGCAGAGGGGGGUAGAAUUCCACGUGUAGCAGUGAAAUGCGUAGAGAUGUGGAGGAAUACCGAUGGCGAAGGCAGCCCCCUGGGCAAGUACUGACGCUCAUGCACGAAAGCGUGGGGAGCAAACGGAUUAAUCCCUGGUAGUCCACGCCCUAAANGAUGUCAACUAGUU